rnacentral:rRNA from 1 species
GAUGAACGCUGGCGGCGUGCCUAAUACAUGCAAGUCGAACGAGGUGCUUUUGUAGUAAUACGAAAGUGUCCUAGUGGCGAACGGGUGAGUAACGCGUUGGUGACCUACCCCAAAGUGUGGGAUAACAGUUCGAAAGGAUUGCUAAUACCGCAUGUGGUCUUCGGAUUUAGAAACUGAUGACUAAAGGAGUAAUCCGCUUUGGGAGGGACCUGCGUCCCAUCAGCUAGUUGGUGAGGUAAUGGCUCACCAAGGCUACGACGGGUAGGGGACCUGAGAGGGUGACCCCCCCACAAUGGAACUGAAACACGGUCCAUACACCUACGGGUGGCAGCAGUAGGGAAUAUUGCACAAUGGGCGAAAGCCUGAUGCAGCAACGCCGCGUGUGCGAUGAAGGCCUUCGGGUCGUAAAGCACUUUUCUGAGGGAUGAGCAAGGACAGUACCUCAGGAAUAACGUCUCGGCUAACUACGUGCCAGCAGCCGCGGUAAU